rnacentral:tRNA from 1 species
CUGUGGUUGUGGCUCAGUGGUACAGUGCUUGCCUAUCAUGUAUGGGGCACUGGGUUCAAUCCCUAGUACCAUAUA